CCCCGCCUCACUCGCGCCUAACUCUGCCCCUCAGUAAGCUCAGGCCAGCCCUGUGGCUCUGUGACAUCAUAUUUCCCUAUAGGCUGUUCGCGCAUCACUGCCGGGCCCGGGCAUGUGCACUGUUCUGCCCACUGUGGUCAGAGGCACAGGGAUAUGGAGUAUGUGAAAAGAGAUAGCAUCUUGCAGUUGAUGGAGAUUUUAGGG